rnacentral:rRNA from 1 species
CCCUUAGAUGUUCUGGGUCGCACGCGCGCUACACUGAUGCAUUCAACGAGUUUCUUCCUGGUCCGAGAGGAAUGGGUAACCUUUUGAAAGUGCAUCGUGAUAGGGAUAGACUAUUGCAAUUAUUGGUCUUCAACGAGGAAUUCCUAGUAGACGUAGUUCAUCAGACUGCAUCGAUUACGUCCCUGCCCUUUGUACACACCGCCCGUCGCUACUACCGAUUGAAUGGUUUAGUGAGAUCUUCGGAUUGGCGCCACUGCGGCUCAGCAAUGGGCUCGGUGGAUGCCGAAAAGUUGAUCAAACUUGAUCAUUUAGAGGAAGUAAAAGUCGUAACA